rnacentral:rRNA from 1 species
AUGCAGACAGGAUCAACUGAAUGGGUUGAAGAAAACAGGGAGAUGCUUUCCUCGAGGGGUGUUUCAUAUCUGAAUAUCGAUCUUUCAGUAGUCGGUCCGGUUUUACUCCCAUCUAGAACUCCCCAACUUGAUGAACUACUACUGGAAACAAUUAAACUGGUCAUCCCAGUCCAGCCCUGCAGUAGUAGGAAGGUCGAGCCCAUCAUCAGAAGUUCAGGUUGUUCUGGUAGCGCGGGCGAACAUGCACCCUCCACUCUGCUGUGCGUGAGAAGGCACAUGGGUAAGUGGCCUAGGCAGAGAUUGAGAUGCACUGAACUUCUUCGACUAGGUCAUGGUGGAGCAGCCCCUGCUCUAGUUCUCUCAUUGGCUCGGCCUGUUCUUGGUGGGAUUGGUCAACAUGGAACAACAGUUACUGUUUUGCUAGCUUUGGGCAUCGGCUGCUACAUCACAUGGAGCCAUGGAGAAUAA